GUGGGGAAUUUUGGACAAUGGGCGCAAGCCUGAUCCAGCCAUUCCGCGUGCAGGAUGAAGGCCUUCGGGUUGUAAACUGCUUUUGUACGGAACGAAAAGCCUCUGGUUAAUACCCGGGGGUCAUGACGGUACCGUAAGAAUAAGCACCGGCUAACUACGUGCCAGCAGCCGCGGUAAUACGUAGGGUGCGAGCGUUAAUCGGAAUUACUGGGCGUAAAGCGUGCGCAGGCGGUGAUGUAAGACAGUUGUGAAAUCCCCGGGCUCAACCUGGGAACUGCAUCUGUGACUGCAUUGCUGGAGUGCGGCAGAGGGGGAUGGAAUUCCGCGUGUAGCAGUGAAAUGCGUAGAUAUGCGGAGGAACACCGAUGGCGAAGGCAAUCCCCUGGGCCUGCACUGACGCUCAUGCACGAAAGCGUGGGGAGCAAACAGGAUUAGAUACCCGUGUAGUCC
rnacentral:rRNA from 1 species